rnacentral:rRNA from 1 species
AAAAGCGGAGGAAAAGAAACUAACAAGGAUUCCCCUAGUAACGGCGAGUGAAGCGGGAAGAGCUCAACAUUGUAAUCUGGCUGCUUCGCAGUCCGAGUUGUAGUCUAUAGAAGCAUGAUCCGCGCCGGCCCUUGGGCAUGUCUGUUGGAACGCAGUGUCAAAGAGGGUGAAAAUCCCGUACAUACCAAGGACGACCGUGUGCAUUGUGGUCUGCUCUCUAAGAGUCGAGUUGUUUGGGAAUGCAGCUCUAAUUGGGUGGUAAAUUCCAUCUAAAGCUAAAUAUCGACGAGAGACCGAUAGCGAACAAGUACAGUAAUGGAAAGAUGAAAAGUAGCCUGCAGAGGCAAUGAAACAAUACGUGAAACCGUUUGUAGGGAAGCGAUGGAACCUUUUCACGCUGCGAGGGUUCAGCUUGGCUUCGGCUUAGUGUAUUCCCUCGUUUUGCGGACCAGCAUCAGUUUGCUUCGCAGUAUAAGGGUGAUUGGAACGUGGCUUCUCCGGAAGUGUUAUAGCCUUUCACUGGAUGCUGUGUCGCAGACUGAGGACUGCAGUGCGCCGUAAGGCAUGGUCUUCGGGCCACGAGCACUUAGGAUGCUGCGAAUGCGAAGA